rnacentral:rRNA from 1 species
UAGGGAAUCUUGCGCAAUGGGCGAAAGCCUGACGCAGCCAUGCCGCGUGAAUGAUGAAGGUCUUAGGAUUGUAAAAUUCUUUCACCGGGGAAGAUAAUGACGGUACCCGGAGAAGAAGCCCCGGCUAACUUCGUGCCAGCAGCCGCGGUAAUACGAAGGGGGCUAGCGUUGCUCGGAAUUACUGGGCGUAAAGGGCGCGUAGGCGGAUAUCUAAGUUGGGGGUGAAAGCCCGGGGCUCAACCUCGGAAUAGCCUUCAAUACUGGAUAUCUUGAGUUCGGGAGAGGUGAGUGGAAUGCCGAGUGUAGAGGUGAAAUUCGUAGAUAUUCGGCGGAACACCAGUGGCGAAGGCGACUCACUGGCCCGAUACUGACGCUGAGGCGCGAAAGCGUGGGGAGCAAACAGGAUUAGAUACCCUGGUAGUCCACGCCGUAAACGAUGAGUGCUAGUUGUCGGCAUGCAUGCAUGUCGGUGACGCAGCUAACGCAUUAAGCACUCCGCCUGGGGAGUACGGUCGCAAGAUUAAAGCUUAAAGGAAUUGACGGGGUCAUAGCUGUUUCCU